rnacentral:rRNA from 1 species
GACGAACGCUGGCGGCGUGCCUAAUACAUGCAAGUCGAGCGCAGGAAACUGACGGAACUCUUCGGAGGGAAGGCAGUGGAAUGAACGGCGGACGGGUGAGUAACACGUAAGGAACCUACCUCAAGGAUUGGGAUAACUCCGAGAAGUCGGAGCUAAUACCGGAUAGUUCAUCGGACCGCAUGGUCCGGUGAUGAAAGGCGCUUCGGCGUCACCUUGAGAUGGCCUUGCGGUGCAUUAGCUAGUUGGUGGGGUAACGGCCCACCAAGGCGACGAUGCAUAGCCGACCUGAGAGGGUGAUCGGCCACACUGGGACUGAGACACGGCCCAGACUCCUACGGGAGGCAGCAGUAGGGAAUCUUCCACAAUGGACGAAAGUCUGAUGGAGCAACGCCGCGUGAGUGAUGAAGGUUUUCGGAUCGUAAAACUCUGUUGUAAGGGAAGAACACGUACGAGAGGAAAUGCUCGUACCUUGACGGUACCUUACGGGAAAGCCACGGCUAACUACGUGCCAGCAGCCGCCGUAACAC